GAUGCAGUCGAGCGAUGGAUUAAGAGCUUGCUCUUAUGAAGUUAGCGGCGGACGGGUGAGUAACACGUGGGUAACCUGCCCAUAAGACUGGGAUAACUCCGGGAAACCGGGGCUAAUACCGGAUAACAUUUUGAACCGCAUGGUUCGAAAUUGAAAGGCGGCUUCGGCUGUCACUUAUGGAUGGACCCGCGUCGCAUUAGCUAGUUGGUGAGGUAACGGCUCACCAAGGCAACGAUGCGUAGCCGACCUGAGAGGGUGAUCGGCCACACUGGGACUGAGACACGGCCCAGACUCCUACGGGAGGCAGCAGUAGGGAAUCUUCCGCAAUGGACGAAAGUCUGACGGAGCAACGCCGCGUGAGUGAUGAAGGCUUUCGGGUCGUAAAACUCUGUUGUUAGGGAAGAACAAGUGCUAGUUGAAUAAGCUGGCACCUUGACGGUACCUAACCAGAAAGCCACGGCUAACUACGUGCCAGCAGCCGCGGUAAUACGUAGGUGGCAAGCGUUAUCCGGAAUUAUUGGGCGUAAAGCGCGCGCAGGUGGUUUCUUAAGUCUGAUGUGAAAGCCCACGGCUCAACCGUGGAGGGUCAUUGGAAACUGGGAGACUUGAGUGCAGAAGAGGAAAGUGGAAUUCCAUG
rnacentral:rRNA from 1 species